CUGACACAGGGAGGUAGUGACAAUAAAUAACAAUGCCGGGCCUUUACAGGUCUGGCAAUUGGAAUGAGAACAAUUUAAAUCCCUUAUCGAGGAUCAAUUGGAGGGCAAGUCUGGUGCCAGCAGCCGCGGUAAUUCCAGCUCCAAUAGCGUAUAUUAAAGUUGCUGCAGUUAAAAAGCUCGUAGUUGCAUUUCCGAGGCAAGGGAUUAGUCCGACCUUUGGUGGGUAUUUAAUCCUCUUGCCUCGUCCUUGAGUGGUGCUUCUUGGUAUUAAGUUAUCGAGGAGAUAGCCGCUCAUCGUUUACUGUGAGAAAAUUAGAGUGUUCAAAGCAGGCUUAUGCCGUUGAAUAUAUUAGCAUGGAAUAAUAAGAUAGGACCUCGGUACUAUUUUGUGGUUGAGAACCAAGGUAAUGAUGAAU
rnacentral:rRNA from 1 species